GCAGAACGCGAAGAACCUUACCAAGGCUUGACAUAUACGAGAACGGGCCAGAAAUGGUCAACUCUUUGGACACUCGUAAACAGGUGGUGCAUGGUUGUCGUCAGCUCGUGUCGUGAGAUGUUGGGUUAAGUCCCGCAACGAGCGCAACCCUCGUUCUAUGUUGCCAGCACGUAAUGGUGGGAACUCAUGGGAUACUGCCGGGGUCAACUCGGAGGAAGGUGGGGAUGACGUCAAAUCAUCAUGCCCCUUAUGUCUUGGGCUUCACGCAUGCUACAAUGGCCGGUACAAAGGGCUGCAAUACCGCGAGGUGGAGCGAAUCCCAAAAAGCCGGUACCCAGUUCGGAUUGAGGUCUGCAACUCGACCUCAUGAAGUCGGAGUCGCUAGUAAUCGCAGAUCAGCAACGCUGCGGUGAAUACGUUCCCGGGUCUUGUACACACCG
rnacentral:rRNA from 1 species